CCCACGUUCAGGGGCUCCACCCAAGCAAGCACACCAUGGUCUUCGGGGCCACAUCGCUGAUUCUACAGGGCAGGCCCUCACACACACGCCUGAGGCCUCCGAAGAGAAGAGCUCCGCAGUCCCCUUCUCAGAACUCCCUGGUCCGGGAGCAGCCGGACUCGCCUUCGCUCGGCAAGGACAGCCGCUGCAUGCGCCCUUCGCCUCAGGUUCCGGCCUCCAGCAGGUCGGUGAUUUGCGCUUGCGCACGCCCAGGCCGCGCGGCCACUCCCAGAAGUCUCCGGGGCUCGGGAGCGGAGCUGGCCGCUUUACUUCGGGACUUUUACGACGCUGCGCUCCGGGUCCCACGGUGCGCGUGGUGACUGGGACCUCGGGCUCUUAUUGUGUGUCUCCUGUUGGGCGCCGCGCGUGAGUGGCCCCAGUGUGAGGAAGACGUCCUUGUGGGUCGCCGCGGAAAAGGCUGUGCGGACGUAGCGUGGAGCCCGCGUGGACGGCGAGUGGCGCUCUGGCUUUCUGGAUCUGUGCUUUUCUGUUAGAGGAGUCGUGAGGACUGAUCCGCUCUUGCAGGUCUAAAACCAUGGCCCAUGCUAUCAAGGUCUUGGUGAAGCCUGAAGUCGUCUUAAGGUCAACAUUGGGUGUAUCUGCUUCCAAGCUCACUCACCUGGGCUUUGACAGGAUCCAGUUGCUCAUGGGCUGUUGACUGGAGGCCAUUCUUGGUUAAGCAGAGAUCUAUGACAUUCAGGGAUGUGGCCAUAGACUUCUCUCAGCAGGAGUGGGAAUAUCUUGACUCUCUUUAGAAGAACUUGUACCGGGAUGUGAUGAUGGAGAACUAUGAUAACUUGGUUUC